rnacentral:rRNA from 1 species
UACGAAGGGUGCAACCGUUGCUCGGAAUCAUUGGGCGUAAAGCGCACGUAGGCGGCUUCGCAAGUCGGAUGUGAAAUCCCUCGGCUCAACCGAGGACGUGCAUCCGAAACUGCGGAGCUUGAGUACUGAAGAGGAUCGCGGAAUUCCCGGUGUAGAGGUGAAAUUCGUAGAUAUCGGGAGGAACACCAGUGGCGAAGGCGGCGAUCUGGGCAGAUACUGACGCUGAGGUGCGAAAGCGUGGGGAGCAAACAGG